AGCACCCUCCUUCCCUGAGAGCUGAGGUUGCAGCUCUGGCUGGCUCUGGUUGAGACUGAGCUAAAGUUAAUCUGCGGCGACGUUCUGGAUGUACUGGACAAACACCUCAUUCCAGCAGCUACCACUGGCAAGUCCAAGGUUUUCUAUUAUGAAAUGUAGGUUCUAUACUAACAAUUAACAAGUGUACUUCAAUACAUUUAAACAUUCUCAGGAAUAAUUGGCUUUGUUUCUUUUUUUUCUUAGGCAUUUAAUAUUAUUUUCCUUAUUAAAUAUAACCAAAAAUCCCACAGAAAUUAACAAGAGGAGGAGCCUCUAAAUAUCAACAAAAUUAUCACUUGAUAGACUAGAAUUAAACAAGCAAAUGAUUCUAAGAAAUGGCACAAGUGUAUUCAUCAUAAAAUAAAAUUUCUACAUGAAACAUUCA